rnacentral:rRNA from 1 species
AGAGUUUGAUCAUGGCUCAGAACGAACGCUGGCGGCACGCCUAACACAUGCAAGUCGAACGAACCCUUCGGGGUUAGUGGCGCACGGGUGAGUAACGCGUGGGUAAUCUACCUUCGAAUUGGGGAUAACGUUGCGAAAGCGACGCUAAUACCGAAUAACAUCCAUUAAUCUUCGGGUUUUUGGAUCAAGGGUGGCCUCUACAUGUAAGCUACUGUUUGAAGAUGAGUCCGCGUACCAUUAGCUUGUUGGUGGGGUAAAGGCCUACCAAGGCUUCAAUGGUUAGCUGGUCUGAGAGGAUGAUCAGCCACACUGGAACUGACACACGGUCCAGACUCCUACGGGAGGCAGCAGUGAGGAAUUUUGCGCAAUGGGGGAAACCCUGACGCAGCAACGCCGCGUGAGUGAUGAAGGCUUUCGGGUCGUAAAGCUCUGUCAAGUGGGAAGAACCUGCAGUAUGCUAAUAUCAUAUUGCACUGACGGUACCACUGAAGGAAGCACCGGCUAACUCCGUGCCAGCAGCCGCGGUAAUACGGGGGGUGCAAGCGUUAUUCGGAAUCAUUGGGCGUAAAGAGCACGUAGGCGGCUUGGUAAGUCAGAUGUGAAAGCCCGGGGCUUAACCCCGGAAGUGCAUUUGAUACUGUCAGGCUUGAGUAUGGGAGAGGGAAGUGGAAUUCCUGGUGUAGAGGUGAAAUUCGUAGAUAUCAGGAGGAACACCGGUGGCGAAGGC